UACGUAGGGGGCAAGCGUUGUCCGGAAUCAUUGGGCGUAAAGCGCGUGUAGGCGGUUCUGUAAGUCUGCUGUGAAAGUCCAGGGCUCAACCCUGGGAUGCCGGUGGAUACUGCAGGGCUAGAGUACGGAAGAGGCGAGUGGAAUUCCCGGUGUAGCGGUGAAAUGCGCAGAUAUCAGGAGGAACACCAAUGGCGAAGGCAGCACUCUGGGACGUGACUGACGCUGAGACGCGAAAGCGUGGGGAGCAAACAGG
rnacentral:rRNA from 1 species